UUCGCCCUUACAGUUUGAUCCUGGCUCAGGACGAACGCUGGCGGCGUGCCUAACACAUUCAAGUCGAACGGUGAAGCCCUUCGGGGCGUAUCUUUGGCGGACGAGGUGAGUAACGCGUGAGCGACCUGCCUUACGGUACGGGAUACACGUCCGGAAACAGACGCUAAUACCGAAUGAUGCAUCGGGGACGCAUGUUUCUGAUGCCAAAGAUUUAUUGCUGUAAGAUGGGCUCGCGUCUGAUUAGGUAGUUGGCGGGGGAACGGCCCACCAAGCCUACGAUCAGUAGCCGGACUGAGAGGUUGAACGGCCACAUUGGAACUGAGAAACGGUCCAGACUCCUACGGGAGGCAGCAGUGGGGAAUAUUGGGCAAUGGGCGAAAGCCUGACCCAGCGACGCCGCGUGAGGGAAGACGGUCUUCGGAUUGUAAACCUCUUUUAUAUGGGACGAAUCAAUGACGGUACCAUAUGAAUAAGCCACGGCUAACUACGUGCCAGCAGCCGCGGUAAUACGUAGGUGGCAAGCGUUAUCCGGAUUUACUGGGUGUAAAGGGUGUGUAGGCGGGAUGGUAAGUCAGAUGUGAAAAUUACGGGCUCAACUCGUAACCUGCAUUUGAAACUGCUGUUCUUGAGGGUCGGAGAGGUAGACGGAAUUCCUGGUGUAGCGGUGAAAUGCGUAGAUAUCAGGAGGAACACCGGUGGCGAAGGCGGUCUACUGGACGAUUACUGACGCUGAGACACGAAAGCGUGGGGAGCAAACAGGAUUAGAUACCCUGAUAGUCCACGCCGUAAACGACGAAUAAGAGGUGUGGGGGAGCAAUGUUCCGUGCAGCCAGUUAACGCAAAUAAGCAUUCCACCUGGGGAGAACGGCCGCAAGGUUGAAACUCAAAGGAAUUGACGGGAGCCCGCACAAGCAGUGGAGUAUGUGGUUUAAUUCGACGCAACGCGAAGAACCUUACCAGGUCAUGACAUCCCGAGAACCCGGCGUAAUGGCUGGGGUGCCCUUCGGGGAAUUCGGUGACAGGUGGUGCAUGGUUGUCGUCAGCUCGUGUCGUGAGAUGUUGGGUUAAGUCCCGCAACGAGCGCAACCCCUACGGUUAGUUGCUACGCAAGAGCACUCUAGCCGGACUGCCGUUGACAAAACGGAGGAAGGCGGGGAUGACGUCAAAUCAUCAUGCCCCUUACGAUCUGGGCUACACACGUGCUACAAUGGCACAACAAAGAGAAGCGAACCCGCGAGGGAGAGCAAACCUCAAAAAUAGUGUCCCAGUUCGGACUGUAGUCUGCAACCCGACUACACGAAGCCGGAAUCGCUAGUAAUCGCGGAUCAGAAUGCCGCGGUGAAUACGUUCCCGGGUCUUGCACACACCGCCCGUCA
rnacentral:rRNA from 1 species